rnacentral:misc_RNA from 1 species
GAUGAAGAACGCAGUGAAAUGCGAUACGUAAUGUGAAUUGCAGAAUUCAGUGAAUCAUCGAAUCUUUGAACGCACAUUGCGCCCGCCAGUAUUCUGGCGGGCAUGCCUGUUCGAGCGUCAUUUCAACCCUCAAGACCCCUUCGGGGGACUUGGUGUUGGGGACCGGCAUAGGGGCCUUGCGCCCCUCGCCGCCCCCGAAAUGAAUUGGCGGCCUCGUCGCGGCCUCCCCUGCGUAGUAGCACAACCUCGCAACGGGAACGUGACGGCGGCCACUGCCGUAAAACAACCCAAUUUUAUUAGAGUUGACCUCGAAUCAGGUAGGAAUACCCGCUGAACUUAAGCAUAUCAAUAAGCGGAGGA